rnacentral:rRNA from 1 species
AGAGUUUGAUCCUGGCUCAGAAUGAACGCUGGCGGCGUGCUUAACACAUGCAAGUCGAACGAUGAAGCCUAGCUUGCUAGGUGGAUUAGUGGCGCACGGGUGAGUAAUAUAUAGAUAAUGUACCUCUUAGUCUGGGAUAGCCAUUGGAAACGAUGAUUAAUACUAGAUAUUCCUUCUAAUAGUAAUAUUAGUUGGGAAAGUUUUUUCGCUAAGAGAUCAGUCUAUAUCCCAUCAGCUUGUUGGUAGUGUAAGAGACUACCAAGGCAAUGACGGGUAGCGGGUUUGAGAGGAUGAUCCGCCACACUGGUACUGAGACACGGACCAGACUCCUACGGGAGGCAGCAGUGAGGAAUAUUGCACAAUGGAGGAAACUCUGAUGCAGCAACGCCGCGUGGAGGAUGACGCAUUUCGGUGUGUAAACUCCUUUUAUAUGUCAAGAAAA